rnacentral:lncRNA from 1 species
GAGAACUUCAAGAGCUCUAGCGUCCUGCACCAGAAGCCCCUGGGAGAUUAUCAAAAUGCAGAUCCCUGGGCUAUAUAUCAGGCCCAUGAAUAGAAAGUUCUAGACUAGGACCUGGGACUCCGUAACCUCUUAUGCAGAAGUCUACCAGUUUCCUCAGAUCUUGGAUAUUGAGCAAAUGGAGAAACAAAGAUGAAUAAGACACAAUCUCUGCCCUUAAGGAACCUGGUUUGAUGAAAACAAAGGGUAAAGAGAACAAAGGGGUGUGAGGGACCAAAGAGAAGUGAACACGAGAAGAGCAGCAAAGAGAAGAUGAUGCCCCGGAAAGUGGGACAGAGCUGGGGAGACAGUGAACUGGAAAUCAUCGGCAUGGAGACAGGGGCCAUGAACUUAAUCUUUAGGGUGUCCUCAUCCUCCUACCAAGACGACAGCCAACACCUCACAAUGACAAAAGGAAAAUAACAAGACAGAGCAAAUCAUAGACCAGAGGUAA